rnacentral:misc_RNA from 1 species
UUGCACAGAAUUCACGUAAACUCAGAUAGUGCUUAUCUAUACAUAAAUCUAUCGAUUUUGACGUAUAUAUUUAAAGUAUUUGUUGAGCAGUCUUUAGUGGAACUUGUUUCUGAGUUUGAUUUGUUAUUGUGUUCAGUGAAUUCAGUGUAAAUAAGGAAAACUAUUUGGUGAAAUGACUUACGACGGUUCAGAUUAUGAGGAUCACGAUGAUCGUAAGAACAUAGUUUGAAACAUCAAAAUGUUCUGGGACCUGUACAGCUAUUCCAACUUCAGGCUCAGCAUGCGCCGCCUCCUCAGCCUCACGCUGCUCAGCCUCGCAGCGGAGCACGUGCGCGCGCAGGAGCGCGACAGUGAGCACCAAGGCCCGCAGCCCUGUGGAGGCCAUCUAAAGGCCGCAGUAGGCACCAUCACCACACCAAACUUCCCCAAUCCCUUCCCCGUUCCUAUCAAGUGCAAGUGGAUCAUCGAACACGACAUAGUGAACGGGACGAUAUCGAUAUACUUCACUCAGCAGUACACCACCAGUGGGCUGACCUUCACGGAGUACAUGUACUAUGACGAGACGUACAAGUUGGGGGAGAGGAGAGCGCUCACUGUCACUGAGGAGAACAUCACCAGGAUCAAGUGGCUGCAGGUGCAGAGUCCAGUGCUGGUGGUGGAGCUGAACCUGAACCGAGUGGAGGGCACGCAGCUGCGGGCGCUGGGCCUGCUGGCGGUGUACGGGUUCAACGUGACGUACGAGGUGCGCGCGCCGACGCGCCCGCCCGGGCCCACGUCGUGCAGCGCCAUCGAGUGCAGGCUGCUCGGACACUGCUACGCGACACAAGAUUACCAGGAGUUCUUCUGCUCGUGCUUCGAGGGCUACUCGGGCGCGGACUGCGGCGUGGGCCCGCGCUGCCCCAGCACCAACUUGUGCAAGAACGGCGGCACCUGCAGACAGAUGGGUCCAGCCGCCGUGAGCUGUAUCUGCGCGCCGGGGUACACGGGCGAUCUGUGCGAGGCGCAACUAGCGCCACCUGAAUGCGGCAUAGAAGAAUGUGCAGAGGUUUGCAAAGAUGGCACUGCAUGUGACUGCAACCCAAAAGAUACGGACUUUGCUUCAGCUAAAUUCGAAACUGGACUGCAGGUAGUGGGCCAAGUUGAAAACAUAUCACAAGAAAUUGUUAAAGAGUUAACAACGUAUCUAAAAGCAUCCAAUAUAACGCUGGAGGAUGAAAUAGAAAUUCUUAACAUUAGUUCAGAGGCGGCGGGUGGGGCGCGCACGGCCCGGGUGCGUGUGUGGGGCGCGCGGCGCGAGGCGGGGGCCCUGCGUGCGGCCCUGGCGCGCCUCGCCGCCUCGCGCAGCCGUGCGCACGCGCUGCGCAUACUGCCCACUGCACACCAUGUGGAAAUGCAACCCGCGCUUAGCUUGCACACUUUGGUAGUGAACCAGCGACCAGAACUAUGGGAAGGCUCAGAGUUCAUACUGACAUGUAUGGCGUACGGAUCUCCCAACAUUGCCUUCACGUGGUAUAAAGACGGUGUCAAAAUAAAUUUUAAUGGCACAACGAGAGAUAUUUGGACGCGCACAGUUUCAGAAGAUGCACUAGGUCGUCGCAUGUCUGUGUUGGGCGUAUCAGAAGCAAAACGACUUGACGGUGGCAAGUGGUCCUGUGCAGCAGAUGACGCUGGCAGGAGACGCUGUAGAGCGUUGAGGCUGACGGUGUUGAGACCGCCUGAUAUACGACUUGUACCUUCUACGAUAACUGUCCAUAAAGGUGAUAAUGUGAGUAUCACGUGUCUGGCGGGAGCUGGCCGGGUACACGGCGUGCUCGGGUUCAGUUGGGCGAGGGAGAGGACGCUACUGCCAAUGGUACCUGGCAAAGAGGUCUGGGAGGAUCUGUACCCUGCGGGAAGCGUUCUCAAACUUUACUAUGUGCAAAAAUCCAGCGAGUUUCGAUGUCAAGUAUCAUCAGUGGCCGGCACCAACGCCAAAGGUGUGACCAUGUGGGCCCUAGGAGCUGAUGACGUAGCGUGUGAGAGUGACGCCUCCCACGGUCUGCGCUGGCCGAAGACUGCUCCUGGUGCACAUGCGACUGCCUCCUGUCCGCCGGGACAUAGCGGGGAGACUACCAGGUUUUGCGAACCAAAGACGGGUCAGCAAGGUGUUAAGUGGAUGCUGCCAGACUUCUCCGGCUGUGUUGCUGAAUCACUGAGGGAUAUUUAUGAACAGUUUACCCUGAUAUCAUUGGGGUACUCCUGGGGAGCGGUAUCGCACGUGUCGCGGCAGUAUGGCUCCGUGCUGCGGUCUCUGCCCACACACCCGGGUGAGGGCCAGCCUCCCCUCACACAUGCAUCUCACAUGCUGCAGUACCUCCUGUCGACUGCGGCUCAACCUGCCGACCGGUACCACAGCGCCGAACAUCUGCUCAACAUCUACGACACCUUGCUCAAACACCCCGAUGCUUUUUUGGAUGAAGAGAAAAUCUUCGAUCUCCAAAAAGCUGUAGUAGAUACAGCUGGCAUGAGAAGUGACUUAGACAAGCGCUACCAAGAGUUCACAGUCAAAACUAAAUCCGUACAUGACGACAACGCGGCACACUUUGAGCUGCAGCCAGCUCCAGUGGGGAGUGAGGAGUGGGUCGUGACGUCAGCAGGAGUUGAGCUGGCGGCAGCCUCUGGAAACGCUUCCGUAGUGACCGUGCUUUACCAUAACCUAGGAGCAAGGUUACCGUCCUUGAGAAGAUACGUAGAGUACAACAGCACCUCUUCCAGGUCUGGCCGAGCGACAGAGUACACGGUAGCAUCGCAACAAGUGCAAGUAUCAGUGAGUGGCGCGGGAGUCGACGCUUCGCUUCCUCACACUGUGACACUGCUGUUCGCGCAUUCCAAAAACUACAGCGCUAUUGCGUCUCAGCUAGCAUGCGGCGUUCGGUCGCGGGCGUCACCACGCGUGUGGAGCAUGCAGGCGUGCGAGGUGCGCGUGCCUGAACACACGCACGUCGCGUGCCGCUGCCGGGGCCUCGCCACCAUCGCACUCUUCACUGUCGACAGAGAGACACUCACAGACUCAGAAAAAGAUCUUCGAGGAAUAGUGAAAGUCACAGUGAGCCUGGGAGGUGCCAUGUGUCUUGUUGCGGCAUUACUACAGCUCCUCAGUCUGGUGGCUGGUAGCAAGGCCAGGCUGCCCAUACUGCUCAAAGCCGCCACUGCUGCCACGCAUUCCGCAGCGGUGUUGGCUCUCCUGGAGUGCGACACGCGGCAGUCGGCGUGCCCCGGGCCGCUGGGCUGGGUAUGCGCGGCGUGCUGGUGUGCGGGCUGUGCCGCGCUGUGUGCGCAGCCACUGCUCCUGCACGCUGAGCUGGCUGCCUCAGCUACACGCGCGCCCUCUGUCGGCCUGCUGGCGGGCGUGUGCACGCUGUGCUGGCUGACAGCGCGACUGUGGGGCGGUGCACCGCUGCAGCUCGGCGCAGCUGCUAACGCCGUGUGUGGCGCGGGCGCCGCACUGUUGGCCGCGCUCACCCUUUGCCUUGCUCUUUGUGCUGCCAGGACGUUACGAACGGUGACACACAAGCUACCCCCCGAUAGACGCUCGUACGUGCGGGAGCGCGCACGUGUUGUGCGGCACACAUUAGUGUUACUAUUCACAACGUCAGCAACACAGGCGGCUGGGGUUGCGUACGCGCAGCCGGGCGAGAGGACCAUGCCUCACGUCACCGCACUGUCAGUUGCUGCUCUCGCCAACGGCAUAGCAAUGCUGAUAUGCUACGUGAUCUGUGAUGAAGAGUGUCUGCAUGCCGCGAGACGGCUACUCACACUCUCCUCCCACAACGAGUGGCACGAGUCACCGGAGGGAGACACCUCGCUUAGUUUGUACAUAAAGCAAGGACGUGAGGUGGAGUGCUCUUCAUCCCACGUGUCACCAGCCAACACAUACUGGCGAGCGCCUCCGUUGGAGGCUGCCAGCACAAUGCACAGGUUAGGCGCGAGUCGAGCGGCGCGUGCGUGGCGGACAUAGUGCGUUGCGUGGAGUACAAGCAGGCGCUGCUGUCGCCGCGCGCCGUGGACUCGCGCGCGCUCUGCGAUCUCAUACCCACCGGUGGUGCAAGUGUGUGUGCACCCACACAGUCGCACGUGUCACAUGUGUGUGUGGAACUGCGCGUACUGCCCGCGUCACCGCCAGUGCCGCGUGCGCAGCCAUACGGCGACAGUAGUGACACGCCGAAG